GCUCAGCUCUGUGCCAGCUCGGAGGACACAAAUACUCAGGGAAUUCUCCGUCCGUCCGGUGGGAGAGCCAGACACAUAAACAGGCCAUUACAAUGGAAUCUGAUCAGGGCGGCUCCAGCAGUAAACGGGGGGUGUUCUCAGCUACGGGAGGAUCAGCACCUUGAGAUGGGAAAGCUUCUGGAGGAAGUGACAAUUGAACCUUGGCACAAUUGGCUGAGCAGAGAAGAGAAGGGUGAGCAGGCCAAAGGAGGCAUGGGAGCAAAGGCCGGAAAUAGGGCCUACAGCCAGCAUUUCUGCUCCUCCGUGAGCUUGCGAGCCUGUUUUCUGGAUCCUCCAAGAAGAUGCAGACACUGAGGCUCAGAAAGACAAGCAGACCUGCUCAUGAGUCAUCCAGCAAAUGGCAAAUGGCACUCUGGCAAAUGGGAUUGAGACCAAUCCUGCCCCAUUUAAAAGGUGUGCGUUCCUAACCAGUAAGUCAGUGCUUCCCUAAAAGUGCCACCGACAGUCCUUUGAGAUGCUUUCAGUAUAAACCCUGAAUCACUAGACUUGUGUUUGAGUCCAUAUAUGUUUAUUUCAGAGUGUGUUAGGAAAAAGUAAAUGACAGCAUCUGUUUAUGA